UGAUGAAACCACGGUGUACACAAAGCAGUGUGCGGGGAAGGAGAUUGUGCCGCUCACAGGGCGCCUUCUUCUGGCGGAGCUUUUCAUGCGCUUCGAUUCCUUCAACAUCGAAGGCCUCGAAAUGGAGGCAACCUUCACUUCACUGACGCCGCGAUCAGAUUGAAGCUAUAGCUUGUAAAACACCCACCCCACGUUGUGAGAUUAUUAGUACCACGUACAUCAGUAGUUCACG
rnacentral:lncRNA from 1 species